AAUUGAAACCAGAGAAAGGAGUGAGAAUAUGCAAGAGCAACAACUCUGCACACACCAAGGUCAGUGAAGAAGGAGGGGGAGAAGGUGCUCCAGCAUCAGAGCAGACAUUCCCCUGCAACCUGUGGUGAAGACCACGGUAGGCAGCUGUGCCCUGCAGCCUGUGGAGGUCACUGGUGGAGGAGAUCCCCACCUGCAGCCCGUGGGGGACCCCGCACUGGAGCAGGGGGAUGUGC